rnacentral:rRNA from 1 species
GUGUCAGCCGCCGCGGUAAUACGAAGGUCCCGAGCGUUGUUCGGAAUCACUGGGCGUAAAGGGAGCGUAGGCGGCGUGGUAAGUCAGAUGUGAAAUCCCGGGGCUCAACCCCGGAACUGCAUCCGAUACUGCCGUGCUAGAGGAUUGGAGAGGUAGCUGGAAUUCACGGUGUAGCAGUGAAAUGCGUGGAUAUCGUGAGGAACACUCGUGGCGAAAGCGAGCUACUGGACAACUCCUGACGCUGAGGCUCGAAGGCCAGGGUAGCGAAAGGGAUUAGAAACCCUUGUAGUCC